GUGAUGCUAACUUCAUCAUGAGAAUGUGAAGACCUUUUGAAACACCAAGCACCUGACCCAAGCCCGGCCACAGAAUACGCUCUUCAAAUUGGGGUCCGCAGACCACCAGCAGCACCAGGGUCCCCUGGGAGCUUGGAAGACCUGCGGUGUCUGGCUCCACCCCAGACCUGUGGCAGCAGACUCUGCAGCGUCACAAGAGUCUCAGCUUCCUGCAGCUGCCCCAAGGGGGACCGCUCCUGGCUGGACAGAUGCAGCAAAAGACAUCAAGACACUGUGCUGAGAGCCUAGUGAGCUCCCACCAGCUUGAGAGAUGAGGGCAACCGAAGCUCAAAGAAUCAAUGGGACCCAGCUGGAUGAGCCCACGUUUGGAACAAAACAGGAGUCUUCUAUCCCUUGCUCAGCUCUCUUCCCACUGUCCCGUGUUGAUUCUGCUCAUCUACGUCACAAGGCAUGUAACACAGAGA